AUAAGCAGGGGUGCCUUCUGCAGUCUGUGCAGUACCGCAUAUUUCCCCAUCUGUGUGCUUUCUGUUGGUGGUUUUGCUGUUUGAAAUGGCCCCGAAGCGUGGUGCUGCCGUGCUGUUUUGUGUUCCUCAGCCCAGAAGGCCCGGCUGUGCCCUACGGAGAAAACCGUGUGUUAGGCAGCUUCAUCCAGGCGUGAGUUAUGGUGCCGUUGGCCGGGAGCCCAACGUUAAUGAGCCAACGAUAGAUAUUAAAUAAGAGAACUUUCUGCUAGCUCUCUAAAGGAAUGAAAAUAACCUUGGGUUCUCACUAAGCAUCAAUUCUGUGACUGGCUCUGUGGGGUAGAGAUGAAAAGGCUCACUCAGUUCCAGCCCCUGCAGAUCCCCCAGGACCCUGGCAGCAGCAGAUCUAUGAGCCCACAUUUCCCCCUGCUUGUGAGGAUCACACCAAGAGAGACAUUCACAUCCUGGCCUCACAAAGAAGAGAUGGCAAAGUGGAAAAAGGCCGGAGUCCCCAACCCUGAGCCCUUUACCCUGUCUCAGUCUUUUAUAACGAGGUGUGUGUGCUUGGGCAAUGCCUCUCUCUUCUGGGACUCAGUGUACCCAUCUCUGCUGUGGGGAGGUUGGACUAGAUGAGAGUUUCCCAAACUCCAGUUGUUUC
rnacentral:lncRNA from 10 species